UACGAAGGGGGCUAGCGUUGCUCGGAAUCACUGGGCGUAAAGGGUGCGUAGGCGGGUCUUUAAGUCAGGGGUGAAAUCCUGGAGCUCAACUCCAGAACUGCCUUUGAUACUGAGGAUCUUGAGUUCGGGAGAGGUGAGUGGAACUGCGAGUGUAGAGGUGAAAUUCGUAGAUAUUCGCAAGAACACCAGUGGCUAAGGCGGCUCACUGGCCCGAUACUGACGCUGAGGCACGAAAGCGUGGGGAGCAAACAGG
rnacentral:rRNA from 1 species